AAAAACCCCCAAGGGGAAAGGGGUUACCCCAAGGGCCACCGGAAGAGGGGGGCUUUUCCCUGGUCUAAAAAGCUUGGGGAAUAAGAGGGGGGCAAGACUGGUGUCAGCCGCCGCGGUAACACCAGCCCCUCGAGUGGUGGGGAUGAUUAUUUGGCCUAAAGCGUCCGUAGCCGGCCGGGUAAGUCUCCCGUUAAAUCCAGCGUCUCAAGCGUUGGACUGCGGGAGAUACUGUCCGGCUAGAGAGUGGGAGAGGUGUGCGGUAUUCUGGGGGUAGGGGCGAAAUCCUUUGAUCCCCGGAGGACCACCAGUGGCGAAGGCUGUACACUAGAACACGUCUGACGGUCAGGGACGAAAGCUGGGGUAGCGAACCGGAUUAGAUACCCGGGUAGUCCCAGCUGUAAACGAUGCAUGCUAGGUGUUGGGUCGGCCACGAGCCGCCUCAGUGCCGCAGGGAAGCCGUUAAGCAUGCCGCCUGGGAAGUACGGCCGCAAGGCUGAAACUUAAAGGAAUUGGCGGGGGA
rnacentral:rRNA from 1 species